UACGGGGGGGGCAAGCGUUGUUCGGAAUUACUGGGCGUAAAGGGCGCGUAGGCGGCCUGCUAAGUCGAACGUGAAAUCCCUGGGCUCAACCCAGGAACUGCGUCCGAUACUGGUUGGCUUGAAUCCGGGAGAGGGAUGUGGAAUUCCAGGUGUAGCGGUGAGAUGCGUAGAUAUCUGGAGGAACACCGGUGGCGAAGGCGGGUCUCUGGGCAGUAACUGACGCUGAGGAGCGAAAGCGUGGGGAGCGAACAGG
rnacentral:rRNA from 1 species